UCGCCUCGAGCGACCGGGUGAUCGCCGCCGGCUUCGACCCGGUGGAGCUCGACAGGGACUGGACGUUCGACGCGCCGGUGCUGAAC
rnacentral:tRNA from 1 species